rnacentral:rRNA from 1 species
GUAAUCCAGGUCAGUUUCUAUCUAUGAAGAGCCUCCUCCUAGUACGAAAGGGCCGGAGAGGGGAGGACAAUGCCUCACGCACGCCUCACCCUUAGUUGAUGAAAACAACUAAAACAAGCAAGAGACCCCACUAUCUUCAUCCCAAUAUAAUGGCAU